rnacentral:rRNA from 1 species
GACGUAGGGCGCGAGCGUUGUCCGGAUUUAUUGGGCGUAAAGAGCUCGUAGGCGGCUUGUUGCGUCGGCCGUGAAAACCCGGGGCUCAACUUCGGGCUUGCGGUCGAUACGGGCGGGCUAGAGUUCGGUAGGGGAGACUGGAAUUCCUGGUGUAGCGGUGAAAUGCGCAGAUAUCAGGAGGAACACCGGUGGCGAAGGCGGGUCUCUGGGCCGAUACUGACGCUGAGGAGCGAAAGCGUGGGGAGCGAACAGG